rnacentral:rRNA from 1 species
GACGAACGCUGGCGGCGUGCUUAACACAUGCAAGUCGAACGGAAAGGCCCUGCUUUUGUGGGGUGCUCGAGUGGCGAACGGGUGAGUAACACGUGAGUAACCUGCCCUUGACUUUGGGAUAACUUCAGGAAACUGGGGCUAAUACCGGAUAGGAGCUCCUGCUGCAUGGUGGGGGUUGGAAAGUUUCGGCGGUUGGGGAUGGACUCGCGGUUUAUCAGCUUGUUGGUGGGGUAGUGGCUUACCAAGGCUUUGACGGGUAGCCGGCCUGAGAGGGUGACCGGACACAUUGGGACUGAGAUACGGCCCAGACUCAUACGGGGGGCAGCAGUGGAGAAUAUUGCACAAUGGGCGGAAGCCUGAUGCAGCAACGGCGCGUGCGGGAUGACGGCCUUCGGGUUGUAAACCGCUUUCGCCUGUGACGAAGCGUGAGUGACGGUAAUGGGUAAAGAAGCACCGGCUAACUACGUG